rnacentral:rRNA from 1 species
UACGGUUACCUUGUUACGACUUUAUCCCAGUCGCUGACCUUACCGUGGCUCGCUGCUUCCAAAAGGUUAGCACACGAUCUUCGGGCAAAGCCAACUCCCAUGAUAUGACGGGCGGUGUGUACAAGACCCGGGAACGUAUUCACCGUGGCAUGCUGAUCCACGAUUACUAGCGAUUCCAACUUCAUGCUCUCGAGUUGCAGAGAACAAUCCGAACUGAGACUGUUUUUAGAGAUUAGCUUGGCCUCGCGACCUUGCUGCCCACUGUCACAGCCAUUGUAGCACGUUUGUAGCCCUACCCGUAAGGGCCAUGAUGACUUGACGUCGUCCCCGCCUUCCUCCGGCUUAUCACCGGCAGUCUCACUAGAGUGCCCAGCUUAACCUGAUGGCAACUAAUAAUAAGGGUUGCGCUCGUUGCGGGACUUAACCCAACAUCUCACGACACGAGCUGACGACAGCCAUGCAACACCUGUAUCUGGUCCACCCGAAGUGAAGAAAAGCAUCUCUGCAAUUCCCGACCAGUAUGUCAAGGGUAGGUAAGGUUCUUCGCGUUGCUUCGAAUUAAACAACAUGCUCCACCGCUUGUGCGGGUCCCCGUCAAUUCCUUUGAGUUUUAGCCUUGCGGCCGUACUCCCCAGGCGGUGUGCUUAAUGAUUUCUCUCCGUCGCCGAAACCUUAAGGUCCCGACAACUAGCACACAUC